UCUCGGUGAUGAUUUCAUAGAUGACGAGUCUGAUUUAAUCCAUUCCAUUCAAUCAUGAAGACGAAUCGAGGCAUUUGUCUGAGAGAU